AUUGAACGCUGGCGGCAGGCUUAACACAUGCAAGUCGAGCGGAGCGAGGGUGCUUGCACCUUAGCUUAGCGGCGGACGGGUGAGUAAUGCUUAGGAAUCUGCCUAUUAGUGGGGGACAACAUUCCGAAAGGAAUGCUAAUACCGCAUACGCCCUACGGGGGAAAGCAGGGGAUCUUCGGACCUUGCGCUAAUAGAUGAGCCUAAGUCGGAUUAGCUAGUUGGUGGGGUAAAGGCCUACCAAGGCGACGAUCUGUAGCGGGUCUGAGAGGAUGAUCCGCCACACUGGGACUGAGACACGGCCCAGACUCCUACGGGAGGCAGCAGUGGGGAAUAUUGGACAAUGGGCGGAAGCCUGAUCCAGCCAUGCCGCGUGUGUGAAGAAGGCCUUUUGGUUGUAAAGCACUUUAAGCGAGGAGGAGGCUACUGAGACUAAUACUCUUGGAUAGUGGACGUUACUCGCAGAGUAAGCACCGGCUAACUCUGUGCCAGCCGCCGCCGUAA
rnacentral:rRNA from 1 species